rnacentral:rRNA from 1 species
CAGUGAGGAAGGUGGGUAUGUUAAUAGCAUAUUCAUUUUGACGUUUAGCUGCAGAAGAAGCACCGGCUAACUCCGUGCCAGCAGCCGCGGUAAUACGGAGGGUGCGAGCGUUAAUCGGAAUUACUGGGCGUAAAGCGCAUGCAGGUGGUUUGUUAAGUCAGAUGUGAAAGCCCGGGGCUCAACCUCGGAAUUGCAUUUGAAAACUGGCAAACUAGAGUACUGUAGAGGGGGUAGAAUUUCAGGUGUAGCGGUGAAAUGCGUAGAGAUCUGAAGGAAUACCGGUGGCGAAGGCGGCCCCCUGGACAGAUACUGACACUCAGAUGCGAAAGCGUGGGGAGCAAACAGGAUUAGAUACCCUGGUAG